UUGGCCAGCGCGCUGACCUACUAAUCUCUCCCAACCCUGCAGGUAUGUCAGUGCAAUGUCAAGGGCAGAUCACGCACGAUCACUCGAUCAUUAGAGAAAAGAGAAUCAACCGUUGCUGCGCGUUUCUAUUUACCGAGUGUCAAAUUAAUUUUCUUAAAUCCUACUACUACUACAAAUUAUUAUUAUAAAUUAAAGUGCUAGAUCUUAACAGCUACACUAAAUCAGAGGUUCAACCAAUUUUAUAACCUCUUUCUUCACGUGCUUACUGGCAAUUACCUAAAGGGCUCUAGGACUUCUGCGAAGAGCAAAAGCAGAAUAAUACCAGAUAUUAAAAGGGAGACUAAAC